CUAGCACCACCAUUUGACUAGGAGUGGAAAAUCUCCUGCACCAAAUAGAGGAGGGGGUGGCCUUCCUUUCUCUACAGGAGGACCGAUUCGAACUUUCUUAGCCCUUCAGUCAGGACAGGACAUGAACCGAGGGGAAAAAAAAAUAUCUUUUGAGGAAAAUUUUCUAAUUAAAUUGCAUUCACUGUUAUUAGAUUAGACUGAAUAAUAGGAAAAAAAGAAGUUGCUUCUAACAGCCUGGGCUCCAUAAGCAAAGGAAAACAGAAAAUUGAUGAAGCAAAAUCCUGCUGUGACCCAGGUGAUUCUGAUUAAAAUAAAAAUUAGAUUUUUCAUUUGUAGUGUGUAGUUUUGUCUAACACUCCAGAGGACAGCGGGCUCAACUAGGACUCUGUUAACAUAGAUAAUGGCCCAACUUCUUCACUUGUCCUCAUUAGCAAAGGCUUUUCCACUGGGCACCGCUUUAAAUGUUAUCCAGAUUCUGUCCCACUACACAAGCAGCUGUGAACUUCUGGUUUUCCUCAUGAAGAGCAACUGAAAUUGAAAUUCUGCUUGCCUUGGGAUAUCAGUCAGCACCUGAGCAUCCACUCAGCAUCUUUCUCAGGGAAAUUACUCAACCCCUCCCCUAUCCUGUUUCCGAAACAACCAAGUCACAUCCCGAUCUCAGAUCACAGCUAAUUGGACCAGGGAUAGGAAACUAACCAAGAUCGGCAGUGGCCAAAGCCAUGCACUAAUUUGAAAAGAUGAACUCAA